UACUCAAUUAGUUCAUUUCUCCAAUUUGUUUUUCUUUUUUUUUUUUUUGGUAUUUUUGGAAAAAAAUACACAUCAAUUCAUUAGUAUAGUCAACUUGUAAAGACUGGUGGGCAGUAAGAAAAAUAGCACAGAAAUAGCUGUCUCUUACUCACCUAAUAAAAUAACCAGAAAAAACCCAUCUCUCUCCUUUUUAUUUUUAUUUUUAUUUAUUUUAACUAAGACCAAAUCUACAAAUUAAUCCCAGGUCCCUUAAAUUUUGCCUCUUAAACCGUCUAUAUAUACAUAGACCCAUUGCACCUUUCUUGUUUAUUUUUAUACCUUUCAAAACAGUUUCCUGCAAACCAACCUUUGGAUGGCCACCAAAUUCCUUUCACCAAAACUGCUUCAAAAGAACCUCCCUUUCUUCCUCAGGCCACUCAACUCCACCACCUCCUCCUCCUCUCUAUCCGCCGUUGAAUCCUUAAACCUGNN
rnacentral:lncRNA from 1 species